UUAGGAAUCUUCCACAAUGGGCGAAAGCCUGAUGGAGCGACGCCGCGUGAGGGAUGAAGGCCUUAGGGUUGUAAACCUCUAAAGGAGGGACGAUAAUGACGGUACCUCUUGAAUAGCACCGGCUAACUCCGUGCCAGCAGCCGCGGUAAUACGUAGGCAGCAAGCGUUGUUCGGAGUUACUGGGCGUAAAGAGUGCGUAGGCGGUUUUCUAAGUUCGGUGUGAAAUCUCCCGGCUUAGCUGGGAGGGUGCGCCGAAGACUGGGAAGCUGGAGUGUGGGAAAGGCAGGCGGAAUUCCUGGUGUAGCGGUGAAAUGCGUAGAUAUCAGGAGGAACACCUGCGGUGUAGACGGCUUGCUAGACCAUAACUGACGCUGAGGCACGAAAGCGUGGGUAGCAAACA
rnacentral:rRNA from 1 species